rnacentral:rRNA from 1 species
AUUGAACGCUGGCGGCAGGCUUAACACAUGCAAGUCGAACGAGUGGCGGACGGGUGCGUAAUGCUUGGGAAUCUAGCUUAUGGAUGGGGCUAACUACGGGAAACUGUAGCUAAUACCGCGUACCAUAGGAUGAGCCCCAGUGGGAUUAGGUAGUUGGGGAGGUAAAGGCUAACCAAGCCGACGAUCUCUAGCGGGUCUGAGAGGAGGACCAGCCACACGUGGACUGAGACACGGUCCAGCCUCCUACGUGAGGAAGCAGUGGGGAAUAUUGCGCAAUGGGGGCAACCUGACGCAGCCAUGCCGCGUGAAUGAAGAAGGCCUUCGGGUUGUAAAGUUCUUUCGGUAGCGAGGCGUUAACUACAGAAGAAGCACCGGCUAACUCCGUGCCAGCAGCCGCGGUAAUAC